rnacentral:rRNA from 1 species
UGCAGUUAGAACGCUCGUAGUCGGAUUUCGGGGCGGGCCGACCGGUCUGCCGAUGGGUAUGCACUGGCCGGCGCGUCCUUCCUUCCGGAGACCGUGCCUACUCUUAACUGAGCGGGGGCGGGAGACGGGACUUUUACUUUGAAAAAAUCAGAGUGUUUCAAGCAGGCAGCUCGCUCUUGCAUGGAUUAGCAUGGGAUAAUGAAAUAGGACUUUGGUGCUAUUUUGUUGGUUUCGAACACCGAAGUAAUGAUGAGAAGGGACAGUCAGGGGCACUCGUAUUUUGCCGAGAGGGGUGAAAUUCUCAGACCAGCGAAAGACGAACCACUGCGAAAGCAUUUGCCAGGGAUGUUUCCACUGAUCAAGAACGAAAGUUAGGGGAUCGAAGACGAUCAGAUACCGUCGUAGUCUUGACCAUAAACCAUGCCGACUAGGGAUUCGACGAUGUUCACUUAUUGACUUGUUGAGCACCUUACGGGAAACUAAAGUCUUUGGGUUCCGGGGGGAGUAUGGUCGCAAGGCUGAAACUUAAAGGAAUUGACGGAAGGGCACCACCAGGUGUGGAGCCUGC